GUGUUCAUUCAGGCAGCACACAUAGUAAAACUGGACUAAUGCAGAGAGAUUAAGGCCCUGUGUAAGGAUGAUGUUCAAAUUACUGAGUUGUUUCUGGUUUUU